CCUGCCGAAGAGGGAAGGCUGCAAGGACCUGCCCAGCCACCACUGCCAUGCCCAGCCACGGUGGACCUGCUUGGCCACCACCACAGACUCUUCCAGCCUCAGUUUCCUCAUUAGUAAAACAUGCAGGCCAAUAAUGCCUGCUCAGCACCCCACCCACGGAGGGAAGUGGGAGGCCUGGGAUAAGCUACGGCGGUGAAUGCUCUGUAAAUUGCACCUGGGUGAGGUUCCUCUCUGCCUGGGCUCCUGCUCCUUCCACUGGCAUUUGGCUGUGACAAAUGCCUGCUGACCACUCUCUGGGCCUCUGCAGGCCGGGCUGCCCUGGAACCCAUGCAGCUUUCCCAGGCCGUGCCUUCAUUUGUGAAGUCCCUGGCAUCUGCAAUGCUCUAGGCUCUCUCCUCCGCCAGUUGAAGAUGGAAAUCCCAGCUCUGGGAUGACAGACCUGGAUCAGUUUCCUGUCCUGCCUCUUCCCAGCUGCGCUCUGGCCCCAGAACAUGGCCAAAUUCAUGGGCUGCUACCUGCAGCAGGUCUGUGCCUGGAAAAGGGAGGUGGCUCAGCAACCCCCGAACCUUCUACCCAGGACAGGACACCCAGCUCCAGACCCCAGCUCAGUGACCUUGGGCCUCUGCCAUCGUCUGCCGCACCUGCUCCUGUACCAGCUGCCAUGGAAACCGGAGGAUCCUGGAGGGGGAUGGAGGGGCCUGGGCCUCAGGGCAGGAAUAGCCCCUCAUGGCUGAGGCACCAGGAUGCUGGGUGGGUGUGUGAACACCAG